rnacentral:tRNA from 1 species
GGUGCCAUCGUCUAGCGGUCUAGGAUACUGGCUUGUCAGGUCAAAGACAGGGGUUCAAAAGCCUUUAGCAGCAGGUAGUAUCUGGUCAUUUGCAAGCCUAAGGUAACGGGAUGAUACCCCCUGCUCAAGGCUGCUCCCCUUGGCACCGCCA